rnacentral:rRNA from 1 species
UAGGGAAUCUUCCACAAUGGACGCAAGUCUGAUGGAGCAACGCCGCGUGAGUGAAGAAGGGUUUCGGCUCGUAAAGCUCUGUUGGUAGUGAAGAAAGAUAGAGGUAGUAACUGGCCUUUAUUUGACGGUAAUUACUUAGAAAGUCACGGCUAACUACGUGCCAGCAGCCGCGGUAAUACGUAGGUGGCAAGCGUUGCCCGGAUUUAUUGGGCGUAAAGCGAGUGCAGGCGGUUCAAUAAGUCUGAUGUGAAAGCCUUCGGCUCAACCGGAGAAUUGCAUCAGAAACUGUUGAACUUGAGUGCAGAAGAGGAGAGUGGAACUCCAUGUGUAGCGGUGGAAUGCGUAGAUAUAUGGAAGAACACCAGUGGCGAAGGCGGCUCUCUGGUCUGCAACUGACGCUGAGGCUCGAAAGCAUGGGUAGCGAACAGGAUUAGAUACCCUGGUAGUCCAUGCCGUAAACGAUGAGUGCUAAGUGUUGGGAGGUUUCCGCCUCUCAGUGCUGCAGCUAACGCAUUAAGCACUCCGCCUGGGGAGUACGACCGCAAGGUUG